rfam:Caenorhabditis remanei strain PB4641 contig93.6, whole genome shotgun sequence.
UACUCUAUUCCCAGCUGGACCUUUGCUGGUUUUCACCUCGGUUAUAUUUCAAUUAUGAUUAUCAUCGGGUGAGCAUCGGUGUAGGUCCAAACCUGCUCC